rnacentral:rRNA from 1 species
GAGAGUAAAACAGUACGUGAAAUUGUUGAAAGGGAAACGAUUGAAGUCAGUCAUGCCGGCGUUGGAUUCAGCUUGCUUCGCGGAGCGGGCGCAUUUCCUCGCAUGGCAGGUCAGCGUCAGUUUUGUGCGGCGUGAAAAGGCUCGGGUAAGGUAGCUCUCUUCGGGGAGUGUUAUAGACCUGGGCAGAUGCGCUGCGCGGGACUGAGGAUUGCAGCGGACAUCCCUUCGGGGGCGCGGCGACCGAACCCUGCUCGGCCACCCGAGUUCGAUAGCGUGCUAACGGACGCGGGAGCGGCAGUGCACCGGAACAGGCAAGCCAGCGGUUCGCUUAGGAUGCUGACGUAAUGGCUUUAAACGA